CACGCGUCACAACAAUUAAAAGGACCCGAGGGAAGCUUGGAAAGCUAAUGUAACCGAGGACAAGGUAUGAGUAAACGGGGCAAAGAAAUAAAUUGAUCAUUUAUUUAUUACAUUAAUUAAACAUACAAAUUCCCCGUUGUUUCCAGACAGGACUUACAACACAUCCUGCUGAUAUCCCAGCUGCACAUGAGACUUACCACACAAACUGUGCGAAAAGAACAACACUGCAACCCGUCACACCCUGCUUAGCGACACUGCAAUCGUGGCACGCACUGCAAACAAUUCGGGUCUCAGCGCAGCUGGGAAUCAGCGCUAUGCAUGGCCUGCGAUCUGGGAGAUAAAGGGAAGUGGCACAAACAAUUAAACAAAAA